AUGCACGCUGGCGGCGUGCCUCAUCCCUGCAAGUCGAGCGAACAGACGAGGAGCUUGCUCCUCUGACGUUAGCGGCGGACGGGUGAGUAACACGUGGAUAACCUACCUAUAAGACUGGGAUAACUUCGGGAAACCGGAGCUAAUACCGGAUAAUAUAUUGAACCGCAUGGUUCAAUAGUGAAAGACGGUUUUGCUGUCACUUAUAGAUGGAUCCGCGCCGCAUUAGCUAGUUGGUAAGGUAACGGCUUACCAAGGCGACGAUGCGUAGCCGACCUGAGAGGGUGAUCGGCCACACUGGAACUGAGACACGGUCCAGACUCCUACGGGAGGCAGCAGUAGGGAAUCUUCCGCAAUGGGCGAAAGCCUGACGGAGCAACGCCGCGUGAGUGAUGAAGGUCUUCGGAUCGUAAAACUCUGUUAUUAGGGAAGAACAAAUGUGUAAGUAACUAUGCACGUCUUGACGGUACCUAAUCAGAAAGCCACGGCUAACUACGUG
rnacentral:rRNA from 1 species